CGCUGAGGCUUUCCAGGAUUCUGACAGACCUGAAGGAUCCUCUCCUGGUGACCCCAUGGACCGUGCCAGACCCCGGUCAAGGAUGAGCCGGGGGUCUUGACCGGCUUUCUGAAAACUGACAGUGAUGGAGAUACCCAUCCAGCAGCCCUGGUAGAAGAUCCUGUCUCCUCCAGUUUGGGAAUGAAAAGUUCCUGACAGCAACUUGGCACCAGGCCCAGUCCUUCUCUGCAUCCCUGAAAACUUGCUCUUCAAGGUAUUUCUGAGCCAGGCCACCCAGGACCUGAGCGUGAAUAGCCCAUCACCAGCUGGGGGCGGUGGAAGACCG